AUGGGCUGGACAAGUUUUGAAGUGAGGGAAGCGCAGAGUAAAAUUGAUUUUUAAGAACGACUGAAGAAUAUGGAAAAAAAGUAAAUGGGCUGCGAGAGCGUUUGAAGUAAGUGUA
rnacentral:lncRNA from 1 species